AUUGAACGCUGGCGGCAGGCCUAACACAUGCAAGUCGAGCGGAUGAAGGGAGCUUGCUCCUGGAUUCAGCGGCGGACGGGUGAGUAAUGCCUAGGAAUCUGCCUGGUAGUGGGGGAUAACGUCCGGAAACGGGCGCUAAUACCGCAUACGUCCUGAGGGAGAAAGUGGGGGAUCUUCGGACCUCACGCUAUCAUAUGAGCCUAGGUCGGAUUAGCUAGUUGGUUGGGUAAAGGCCUACCAAGGCGACGAUCCGUAACUGGUCUGAGAGGAUGAUCAGUCACACUGGAACUGAGACACGGUCCAGACGCCUACGGGAGGCAGCAGUGGGGAAUAUUGGACAAUGGGCGAAAGCAUGAUCCAGCAAUGCCGCGUGUGUGAAGAAGGUCUUCGGAUUGUAAAGCACUUUAAGUUGGGAGGAAGGGAAGUAAGUUAAUACCUUGCUGUUUUGACGUUAACAACAGAAUAAGCACCGGCUAACUUCGUG
rnacentral:rRNA from 1 species